GACGAACGCUGGCGGCGUGCCUAAUACAUGCAAGUCGAACGCACAGUUUAUACCGUAGCUUGCUCCACCAUAGACUGUGAGUUGCGAACGGGUGAGUAACGCGUAGGUAACCUGCCUGGUAGCGGGGGAUAACUAUUGGAAACGAUAGCUAAUACCGCAUAAUAUUAAUUAUUGCAUGAUAAUUAAUUGAAAGGUGCAAUUGCACCACUACCAGAUGGACCUGCGUUGUAUUAGCUAGUAGGUGAGGUAACGGCUCACCUAGGCGACGAUACAUAGCCGACCUGAGAGGGUGAUCGGCCACACUGGGACUGAAACACGGCCCAGACUCCUACGGGAGGCAGCAGUAGGGAAUCUUCGGCAAUGGACGAAAGUCUGACCGAGCAACGCCGCGGGAGUGAAGAAGGUUGUCGGAUCGUAAAGCUCUGUUGUAAGAGAAGAACGGGUGUGAGAGUGGAAAGUUCACACUGUGACGGUAGCUUACCAGAAAGGGACGGCUAACUACGUG
rnacentral:rRNA from 1 species